rnacentral:rRNA from 1 species
GACGAACGCUGGCGGCGUGCUUAACACAUGCAAGUCGAACGGAAAGGCCCUGCUUUUGUGGGUGCUCGAGUGGCGAACGGGUGAGUAACACGUGAGUAACCUGCCCUUGACUUUGGGAUAACUUCAGGAAACUGGGGCUAAUACCGGAUAGGAGCUCCUGCUGCAUGGUGGGGGUUGGAAAGUUUCGGCGGUUGGGGAUGGACUCGCGGCUUAUCAGCUUGUUGGUGGGGUAGUGGCUUACCAAGGCUUUGACGGGUAGCCGGCCUGAGAGGGUGACCGGCCACAUUGGGACUGAGAUACGGCCCAGACUCCUACGGGAGGCAGCAGUGGGGAAUAUUGCAGAAUGGGCGGAAGCCUGAUGCAGCAACGCCGCGUGCGGGAUGACGGCCUUCGGGUUGUAAACCGCUUUCGCCUGUGACGAAGCGUGAGUGACGGUAAUGGGUAAAGAAGCACCGGCUAACUACGUG